rnacentral:tRNA from 1 species
AUGUGGAUAGCCCAGAUGGUUAAUGCGUGUGAUUGGAAACCUGUGGUCGCGGGUUCGAAUCCGGUCCGAUACA